UUGACAUUACAGGCACACAUCCACAGAGCACUCUUCAAAUCAUCUACACAGUGGUUAUCCAACUAGGAUUAUAAAGGCACACAUUGACAUAGACCACUGUUGCAGUCAACGACACAGUCGCUAUCCAAGUAGCAUUAUAGAGCUGUCAUGCAACGCAACAACUGUGCUAUCUGCCAUCGCACAUCAACGAAGAAGUGCAGCCGCCCACAUUCCACCUCACGUCUGUCCGACUAGCUGCAAUCCUCGAGGACGCCCCACUGUACCACGAUUUCACUACGAUGUUUGACAAGAAGGAGCAGUUCGCGAGAUAGGCUAAUGAGCAGACUUCCCUCGCUUGAGUUUCGGAAGAAUGUUCCAUAUCGCGCUAAGCUGACCACUGCUGACCAUGACAGGCGUGCAUUGGACUGGUACAGGUUGGAACUGAACAUUGAAUAUGCUGGUGGUGACGCUUUCUGAUGAGAAGUUGGUCGUGACUGAUGCAGUAUCCUUGGACUUGUCCACAGCAUCGUUCAAUCAUUGCUCUCUGAGCUGCCUUGAUUCUGUACUUACCCAAAUACUAAGACCAAAUGCCUGUUGACUGUGCUUUAAGAGAGACUGGCGCCAUGCCUAGAGAUAUUGGUCGUGACUGAUGCAGUAUCCUUGGACUUGUCCACAGCAUCGUUCAAUCAUUGCUCUCUGAGCUGCCUUGAUUCUGUACUUACCCAAAUACUAAGACCAAAUGCCUGUUGACUGUGCUUUAAGAGAGACUGGCGCCAUGCCUAGAGAUAUGACUGACCCCUAUUGGCAAAUUUGUAUGACUUUAUCUUGCCUACCUAGCUGCUGCCUAUAGUCUCCCUUUAA